CCGAGUUUACAACUCCCAAACCCCUGUGAACAUACCUUAUGUUGCCUCGGCGGAUCAGCCCGCUCCCGGUAAAACGGGACGGCCCGCCAGAGGACCCCUAAACUCUGUUUCUAUAUGUAACUUCUGAGUAAAACCAUAAAUAAAUCA
rnacentral:misc_RNA from 1 species